rnacentral:rRNA from 1 species
GGGAGGCAGCAGUAGGAAUCUUCCGCAAUGGACGAAAGUCUGACGGAGCAACGCCGCUUGAGUGAUGAAGGUUUUCGGAUCGUAAAGCUCUGUUGUUAGGGAAGAACAAGUGCGAGAGUAACUGCUCGCACCUUGACGGUACCUAACCAGAAAGCCACGGCUAACUACGUGCCAGCAGCCGCGGUAAUACGUAGGUGGCAAGCGUUGUCCGGAAUUAUUGGGCGUAAAGGGCUCGCAGGCGGUUUCUUAAGUCUGAUGUGAAAGCCCCCGGCUCAACCGGGGAGGGUCAUUGGAAACUGGGAAACUUGAGUGCAGAAGAGGAGAGUGGAAUUCCACGUGUAGCGGUGAAAUGCGUAGAGAUGUGGAGGAACACCAGUGGCGAAGGCGACUCUCUGGUCUGUAACUGACGCUGAGGAGCGAAAGCGUGGGGAGCGAACAGGAUUAGAUACCCUGGUAGUCCACGCCGUAAACGAUGAGUGCUAAGUGUUAGGGGGUUUCCGCCCCUUAGUGCUGCAGCUAACGCAUUAAGCACUCCGCCUGGGGAGUACGGUCGCAAGACUGAAACUCAAAGGAAUUGACGGGGGCCCGCACAAGCGGUGGAGCAUGUGGUUUAAUUCGAAGCAACGCGAAGAACCUUACCAGGUCUUGACAUCCUCUGACAACCCUAGAGAUAGGGCUUUCCCUUCGGGGACAGAGUGACAGGUGGUGCAUGGUUGUCGUCAGCUCGUGUCGUGAGAUGUUGGGUUAAGUCCCGCAACGAGCGCAACCCUUGAUCUUAGUUGCCAGCAUUCAGUUGGGCACUCUAAGGUGACUGCCGGUGACAAACCGGAGGAAGGUGGGGAUGACGUCAAAUCAUCAUGCCCCUUAUGACCUGGGCUACACACGUGCUACAAUGGACAGAACAAAGGGCUGCAAGACCGCAAGGUUUAGCCAAUCCCAUAAAUCUGUUCUCAGUUCGGAUCGCAGUCUGCAACUCGACUGCGUGAAGCUGGAAUCGCUAGUAAUCGCGGAUCAGCAUGCCGCGGUGAAUACGUUCCCGGGCCUUGUACACACCGCCCGUCACACCACGAGAGUUUGCUAACACCCGAAGUCGGUGAGGUAACCUUUAUGGAGCCA